AAAAAGUAAGGCUUAACUGAAGCAUUUGGAAAGUUUGUAAACUCACACUAUGCUAGAUCUGCUGUCAGCGUCGUAUCCUCAGUGGCACCCUGUGAGCUCUGGCUGUGUCUCAGUGGUCUACCUGGUACUGGCUAUGGCAAGCCCUUUGUUUCUCUGAGAGGAGCAUCACAGAGAAAACAACAAGGUUCUUAUCCCCCGUGUAAUGUGAAAUAGCCCGAGGGAUUCCUGUAGCGGCAGUUGAACACAGCCUUCGGCCCUUCAAAAAUGAACAUCACUUAGUGCGUAAGAGAAGAUUUGAUCCUGGAUGAAAGCCGUUAUUUACAAAGCAAAUAAUUUGUCACAUCGUUAUCUCAGCUUUAGACUGGCUGGGAGAUAUGCAGCCUGGGAUCAAGUAACCCCAUGUUAGCCAGCAAGAUAUUUUGUCUUUUCAUUUACUCCUUAUGGUGGCUCUACAAAGUAGACAGUAUUAUUUUCAUGUCACAGAAGAUGGGGACUCAAAUGGACUCAAGGAGAUUA
ensembl:lncRNA